ACUAUUUUGUCAGAUUAUUGUAAUAAAUUCAGAAUUUAUUUAAGGUUGUAGAGCACCUGAGGCAUUUAAUA
rnacentral:tRNA from 1 species